rnacentral:lncRNA from 10 species
CUCCCUGUAGAGUUUUACCCCCUGCUCCUCUGGCCGCCCUCCGGAUGGAUCUUUGUGUUGCCAGGCAGGAAUGGGCUGCUUGGGGACCCAGUGAGCUCCGAGGGCCUUUCUGCUGCUUCCUGUACCCCUGUAUUUCGCUCAGCUCUCUGACUUGACUCAGCUCCAGGAGGAAUCUGCAUAGAUUAGACGAAAAAGUUAAAAGGAGUAUGAAUGAAAAAACUACGUGUACAAGAUGUCCAAGAUGAACAAAACUAUACAAUAAAGUUCAUUUCAAUAUACAACAUGUAUUAUAUUCAACAAGGCUCAAAUUUUUUGAUAAAAGGAAACAGAGACCUCUUUUUCUAGCAGGAAGAUAUUUUUCUUGGGAUGUUUUGUUUAUGCUGGCUUGAAUAACACUAUGAAAUAUUCUUUCAUUAAUAUUACAUGCUUAUGGAACUUUACCUAUUGAUUAAAGACAUCUACCCCUGGAGAAAGAGCCCAAUGAGAAGUAAUCUCUGAAGCCCAGAUUUCCUAAGGAUGAAGCUUCAGGAGAGGCCUUAUCAAU